AAAAUCUGGGAGUACUGGGAAAGGCCAAGCACUCCUCUAGCCCCGUGUCAGUACCACCUGUGGCUUUCAGGACUUUCUGAAGAAAGACAGAAUGUGAUAACCGGCAGUCAUUGACAGGUUCUUCUUUCUGAUAGGGACUGCUAUCUUUGCCCAGGCACGUGGAUGCUACAGCAAAGGAUAAAGUUUAACCCAGAUAUUCCUGCAGCUGCUGAUACCUCAGAAGGAAGUGCUGGCAAUGGCGAGACUAGAAGCUGCUGUGAGUAUCCUCAUCCUCAGGGCAGCAAACUGUGUUGCUUCCUACCCUCCUCUAAGUCCUUGAGCCAGUCGUGUCCCUCCUGUCCAUCCUCAGGGGAUGAGGUGAGAGCAGAAGCUCUCCUUCCUGAUUUUUCUCCCUUUCUUGGAGGGAACUCUGAAGUAAAAUUGACGUAUUGGCCCCACAGACUUGUGGGGACUGAAUGGAAGGGGAUGAGUGGUGAGUGGACCCUGUGCUGAGCUGCAGCUGGUGAUUGUCUCCAGCAGAAAGAAAGGGACCUGCAUCAAGAGGUCGUUAAGCUAGAGAAGGAGAAAUCAAAAUAAAAGAUGUGAAGAAAGACUGAGAGCAACCACACUGCUGACCAUUGGCAUGGAGCUAAUGCUCCACAGAGCAGAGCUCUGUGGCUUGCAAUCACCUCUGCAAACAGCGUGGCAUCCGAAAACCUCUUAUUUAGUGCUCUUCCAAGAUGAAAGCUUCAGGCCCGUUGUCAACAGGAGGCGUUUCUUCCCCUGAGUUGAAUAAAGG
ensembl:lncRNA